AUACGGAGGAUCCGAGCGUCAUCCGGAUUUAUUGGGUUUAAAGGGUGCGCAGGCGGCCAUUUAAGUCAGCGGUUAAAUCGUGGGGCUCAACCCCAUUCUGCCGUUGAUACUGGGUGGCUUGAUUGCGGUCGAGGUUGGCGGAAUUCGUUGUGUAGCGGUGAAAUGCAUAGACAUGACGAAGAACACCGAUUGCGUAGGCAGCUGACCAGAUCGCAAAUGACGCUCAUGCACGAAAGUGCAGGGAUCGAACAGGAUUAGAUACCCUGGUAGUCCGCACAGUAAACGAUGAAUACUUGUUUUCGGCGAUAUAAUGUCGGAGGCAAAGCGAAAGCGAUAAGUAUUCCACCUGGGGAGUACGCCGGCAACGGUGAAACUCAAAGGAAUUGACGGGG
rnacentral:rRNA from 1 species